rnacentral:rRNA from 1 species
UGGGGAAUUUUGGACAAUGGGGGAAACCCUGAUCCAGCCAUCCCGCGUGUGCGAUGAAGGCCUUCGGGUUGUAAAGCACUUUUGGCAGGAAAGAAACGUCAUGGGUUAAUACCCCGUGAAACUGACGGUACCUGCAGAAUAAGCACCGGCUAACUACGUGCCAGCAGCCGCGGUAAUACGUAGGGUGCAAGCGUUAAUCGGAAUUACUGGGCGUAAAUCGUGCGCAGGCGGUUCGGAAAGAAGGAUGUGAAAUCCCAGAGCUCAACUUUGGAACUGCAUUUUUAACUACCAGGCUAGAGUGUGUCAGAGGGAGGGGGAAUUCCGCGUGUAGCAGUGAAAUGCGUAGAUAUGCGGAGGAACACCGAUGGCGAAGGCAGCCUCCUGGGAUAAAACUGACGCUCAUGCACGAAAGCGUGGGGAGCAAACAGG